GCUCUCGUGGUCUAGUAGCAUGAUACGCGCUUUGGGUUUUGGUUUCAUCACUUCAUCUGCGCGGGGUCCCGGGUUCAACUCCCGGCGAGGGUC